GAUUAACGCUGGCGGCGUGCAUAACACAUGCAAGUCGAACGAUGAAACUUAACUGAUUUCUUCGGAAUGAUUUUAAGUGGAUUAGUGGCGGACGGGUGAGUAACGCGUGAGUAACCUGCCUUGGAGAAGGGGAUAGCCUUUGGAAACGAAGAAUAAUACCCUAUGAUAUGAUAAUAUCUCAUGAUAUUAUCAUCAAAGAUUUAUCGCUCUAAGAUGGACUUGCGUCUGAUUAGUUAGUUGGUGAGGUAACAGCUCACCAAGGCAGCGAUCAGUAGCCGGCUUGAGAGAGUGUACGGCCACAUUGGGACUGAGACAAGGCCCAGACUCCUACGGGAGGCAGCAGUGGGGAAUUUUGCACAAUGGGGGAAACCCUGAUGCAGCGACGCCGCGUGAUUUAGAAGGCCUUCGGGUUGUAAAAAUCUUUUGUAUGGGAAGAAAAUGACAGUACCAUACGAAUAAGGACCGGCUAAUUACGUG
rnacentral:rRNA from 1 species